rnacentral:rRNA from 1 species
UACGAAGGGGGCUAGCGUUGCUCGGAAUCACUGGGCGUAAAGCGCACGUAGGCGGAUCUUUAAGUCAGGGGUGAAAUCCUGGAGCUCAACUCCAGAACUGCCUUUGAUACUGAGGAUCUUGAGUCCGGGAGAGGUGAGUGGAACUCCGAGUGUAGAGGUGAAAUUCGUAGAUAUUCGCAAGAACACCUGUGGCGAAGGCGGCCCCCUGGGCCGGCCCUGACACUGAGACGCGAAGGCGUGGGGAGCGAACGGG